CUUGGCAAUUAGUACAGCUGCAACUCCUCAGGGGUGAGAUUGUCUUCUGCACUGUCUCUGUUCUCUUACAUUCCAUCCUCCCACACCUUCCAACCCAAACCACCCCAUUCUAUGAUGUUAUGCUCUUGUCAAAAGUCCCUCUCCAACUUCAUUGCAGGAUCAUUUCAGGAACUGGAAGUCUGUAAUUAGGUGCUUCCUAAAGCCUUCUCUUUGCUGGGCUGAACAAUUCCAGUUCUCUCAGCCUUUCUUCAUAGUAGAGGUGCUCCAUCUCUCAUCCUCUUGAUGGCCACUUCCAGACUCUCUCCAACAGGUGCUUCCCGGUCCGCAGGCCGAGCCAAGCCCAGCCCUCGCUGCUGUCCCUGGCUUUGGGCUGUAAAGGAUGCUCCGCUCUGCUCCAGCGCCGAGUGGUCUUGUGGUGCCCCGGAGGACACAGCAGCACGGACAAGAGACUGACUUCUCGACUUUUUACCUCUUUAGGUGUGACUGGAGUCUCUAAAAAUUUGCCUCAGUGCUGGGAAGGUGUGGGGCAAAAAACUGCUUUGAAACUGUAAAAAAAGAGUUUGUGUUUUUGAAUGUAGCAUGGAUAUCACAGACGAAUGUUUAAGUAUCAUUGGUCUCUUGAAAAAUAAUAUUUCUGUAGGUUGCAAUUAAUUUAGGAUGUUUGCAAUUUUGUGAAAAUUUUACAUAUUCUCUUUUCUUAGAGAGCAAAUGUAUGUAUUUACUGAAGCCAUUCCGUAUAUAGAAGGUGAUUAACUUUCUAUGAAAGUUGAAGCAGACUAUUACAUAUGCCCAGAGAGGUGGUAGAUGUCUCAUCCCUGGCAACAUUCAAGGUGAGGUCGGGCAGGGCUCUGAGCACCCUGAUGUGGUUGAAGAUGUCCUGCUCAUUACAGGGACAUUGACUGGAUGAGAAUUAAAGGUCCCUUGCAACCCAGACCAAACUCCUGCCUUGCAUGGAAAACUAUCUGUACCUGCAGUGUACUUUGAGAGCCCAAUGAAAGAUCAAUGUCCUGGAAGGACUAUCAGA